ACUCAAAUGAAUUGACGGGGGCCCGCACAAGCAGUGGAGUAUGUGGUUUAAUUCGAAGCAACGCGAAGAACCUUACCAGGGCUUGACAUCCCUAGAAUCCUGUGGAAACAUGGGAGUGCCGCAAGGAGCUAGGAGACAGGUGGUGCAUGGUUGUCGUCAGCUCGUGUCGUGAGAUGUUGGGUUAAGUCCCGCAACGAGCGCAACCCCUAUCGCUAGUUGCUACCAUUAAGUUGAGAACUUUAGCGAGACUGCCGGUGACAAAUCGGAGGAAGGUGGGGACGACGUCAAAUCAUCAUGCCCCUUAUGUCCUGGGCUACACACGUACUACAAUGGCAUUUUAACAACGGGAAGCGAAGUCGCGAGGCGGAGCGAAUCCCCAAAAAAUGUCCCAGUUCGGAUUGCAGGCUGAAACUCGCCUGCAUGAAGUAGGAAUUGCUAGUAAUCGCGGAUCAGAAUGCCGCGGUGAAUACGUUCCCGGGCCUUGUACACACCGCCCGU
rnacentral:rRNA from 1 species